rnacentral:rRNA from 1 species
CCUACGGGAGGCAGCAGUAGGGAAUAUUGCUCAAUGGGGGAAACCCUGAAGCAGCAACGCCGCGUGGGGGAUGAAGGUUUUCGGAUUGUAAACUCCUUUUGUUAGAGAAGAUAAUGACGGUAUCUAACGAAUAAGCACCGGCUAACUCCGUGCCAGCAGCCGCGGUAAUACGGAGGGUGCAAGCGUUACUCGGAAUCACUGGGCGUAAAGCGCGCGUAGGCGGGAUAGCAAGUCAGAUGUGAAAUCCUAUGGCUUAACCAUAGAACUGCAUUUGAAACUGUUAGUCUAGAGUAUGGGAGAGGUAGGUGGAAUGCUUGGUGUAGGGGUAAAAUCCGUAGAGAUCAAGAGGAAUACUCAUUGCGAAGGCGACCUGCUAGAACAUAACUGACGCUGAUGCGCGAAAGCGUGGGGAGCAAACAGGAUUAGAUACCCCGGUAGUC